rnacentral:rRNA from 1 species
UACGAAGGGGGCUAGCGUUGCUCGGAAUUUACUGGGCGUAAAGCGUGUGCAGGUGGCUGGGUAAGUUGGAUGUGAAAUCUCCUGGCUCAACUGGGAGAGGUCAUUCAAAACUGCCGAGCUAGAGGGCGGUAGAGGGAGGUGGAAUUCCGGGUGUAGUGGUGAAAUGCGUAGAUAUCCGGAGGAACACCUGUGGCGAAAGCGGCCUCCUGGACCGUACCUGACGCUAAGACAUGAAAGCUAGGGGAGCGAACGGG